rnacentral:rRNA from 1 species
GAUGAACGCUGGCGGCGUGCCUAAUACAUGCAAGUCGAGCGAACAGACUAGGAGCUUGCUCCUCAGACGUUAGCGGCGGACGUGUGAGUAACACGUGGAUAACCUACCUCUAAGACUGGGAUAACUUCGGGAAACCGGCGCUAAUACCGGAUAAUCUAUUUAACCGUAUGGUUCAAUAGUGAAAGAUGGUUUUUCUGUCACUUAUAGAUGCAUCCGCGACGUAUUAGCUAGUUGGUAAGGUAACGGCUUACCAAGGUAACCAUGCGUAGCCGACCGGAGAGGGUGAUAGGCGACAUUGGAGCGGAGACACGGACAAGAGGCCUAAGGGAGGCAGCAGAAGGGAAUGGUACGCAAUGGGCGAAAGUAUGACGGAACAAGGGGGAGUGAGUGAUGAAGGUCUUCGGAUAGUAAAACCCUGUUAUGAGGGAAGAACAAAUGUGUAAGGAACUAUGCACUAAGUGACGGUACCUAAACAGAAAGCCACGGCUAACUACGUG